rnacentral:rRNA from 1 species
AGACUUUAUGGGGCUCAGCGAGCCGGAGCGGGAACGCAUCAUCAAAAAGCAGUGGGAGUUUCAGAAUCUACUUCAGGGCGCUCUGCGCAAAGCGCGGGAAAUCGAAAAACAAACCGCCCAGGAACUGCUGCAGUUGGACCAAAAAGCCGCGCUUUUUGCCAUCGAAGAUAUCCUUGACGACCUGUUGGUCAAGUAUGCCCCUAUCCCCGGACUCACGGAGUACCUCGAGGACGUGAAAAACGAUAUCCUCGAAAACCUCCUGCUCUUCCUGCGCAAAGACGACGACGAGGGAAACCCCCUGCUGCGCCUGCAAAAAAAAGAAUUGUCCCUGCGUUACGCUGCGGAUAUCGUGACUGGGAAACAGCCUUCGGGUUGUAAACCUCUUUCAGUAGGGAAGAAGCGAAAGUGACGGUACCUAAAGAAGAAGCACCGGCUAACUAUGUGCCAGCAGCCGCGGUAAUACAUAGGGUGCAAGCGUUGUCCGGAAUUAUUGGGCGUAAAGAGCUCGUAGGUCGUUUGUCGCGUCGAUUGUGAAAAUCUGAGGCUCAACCUCAGACCUGCAGUCGAUACGGGCAAACUAGAGUGUGGUAGGGGAGACUGGAAUUCCUGGUGUAGCGGUGGAAUGCGCAGAUAUCAGGAGGAACACCAAUGGCGAAGGCAGGUCUCUGGGCCAUAACUGACACUGAGGAGCGAAAGUGCGGGGAGCGAACAGGAUUAGAUACCCUGGUAGUCCGCACCGUAAACGGUGGGCACUAGUUGUGGGAACCUUCCACGGUUUCCGCGACGCAGCAAACGCAUUAAGUGCCCCGCCUGGGGAGUACGAUCGCAAGAUUAAAACUCAAAGGAAUUGACGGGGCCCCGCACAAGCAGCGGAGCAUGCGGCUUAAUUCGACGCAACGCGAAGAACCUUACCAAGGCUUGACAUAUAGCGAAAAGUGGCAGAGAUGUCAUGUCCGCAAGGGCGCUAUACAGGUGGUGCAUGGUUGUCGUCAGCUCGUGUCGUGAGAUGUUGGGUUAAGUCCCGCAACGAGCGCAACCCUCGUUCUGUGUUACCAGCAUUUAGUUGGGGACUCACAGGAGACUGCCGGGGUCAACUCGGAGGAAGGUGGGGAUGACGUCAAAUCAUCAUGCCCCUUAUGUCUUGGGCUGCACGCAUGCUACAAUGGCCGGUACAAAGUGCUGCGAGAUCGUAAGAUUGAGCGAAUCACAUAAAGCCGGUCUCAGUUCGGAUUGAGGUCUGCAACUCGACCUCAUGAAGUCGGAGUUGCUAGUAAUCGUAGAUCAGCAACGCUACGGUGAAUACGUUCCCGGGGCUUGUACACACCGCCCGUCACGUCACGAAAGUCGGUAACACCCAAAGUUAGUGGCCCAACCGCAAGGGGGGAGCUACCUAAGGUGGGAUCGGUGAUUGGGACGAAGUCGUAACAAGGUAGCCGUACCGGAAGGUGCGGCUG